rnacentral:tRNA from 1 species
GAAGCCCUAGUAAAUUCAUUACGUAGCACUGUCGGCGCUAAAUUAUAGGACUACCCUUUGAGCUUCC